CCGCCUCCUACUAUGAAACCCUAAAUUUUUGAUUCACUAUUGAGCAUCCCUGCCCAUCCUUAUGAAAACCUUAUCGCUGACGUGUAUUUUCUUUCACCCACUAUAAACAAUUCCAUCGCCAGAAGCUUCAACCAUGAUAUCAGCAUUUAGGGCUUUCCAUUAUGGCAGUGCAUUUGGGGAACAUCAUAAAGUUGAAGACAUAAGGCAAUGAAUUCACAAGUAGGGCAAGCAACGACUUCAAUGUAUGAAAAUAUGCAAAGGCGGCCUUUUAUCAUUGGUAUGCAUAAUGUAUUGCAGCAAGAACACGUCUUGAUUACUUGUAUAGUUUCGGCAUGCUACUAAAUUAAAAUCAUGUUGAGUAUGAUUUAUAUACCUUAAAGCACAUGUGCAUAGGAACUUCUUGUAUAGUCUAAUCUUUGAAAGGCUUAGUAUUGUCAUACAUGUUAUAAAAGAUUUUGAUCAACAAUGAGGGCUUGUUGAUGGUACAACUUCAAGGAAA
rnacentral:lncRNA from 1 species